CACGGACCAAGGAGUCUAGCAUGUGCGCGAGUCAUUGGGAUCUCAGAUUAAACCCAGAGGCGCAAUGAAAGUGAAAGGCGGGGCCUAGCGCCCCGCCGCGAGGGAAGAUGCGAGGGCGCCCCCGAGCGCCCCGCCGCAUUCCCGAGGCGUUUCGAGAAAGCCACCGUGUUAUUAUCGAGACGCACUGAGAGCGUACACGCUGGGACCCGAAAGAUGGUGAACUAUGCCUGGUCAGGUCGAAGUCAGGGGAAACCCUGAUGGAGGACCGAAGCGAUUCUGACGUGCAAAUCGAUCGUCGGAACUGGGUAUAGGGGCGAAAGACUAAUCGAACUAUCUAAUAGCUGGUUCCAUCCGAAGUUUCCCUCAG
rnacentral:rRNA from 1 species